UAGGGAAUCUUCGGCAAUGGACGGAAGUCUGACCGAGCAACGCCGCGUGAGUGAAGAAGGUUUUCGGAUCGUAAAGCUCUGUUGUAAGAGAAGAACGAGUGUGAGAGUGGAAAGUUCACACUGUGACGGUAUCUUACCAGAAAGGGACGGCUAACUACGUGCCAGCAGCCGCGGUAAUACGUAGGUCCCGAGCGUUGUCCGGAUUUAUUGGGCGUAAAGCGGGCGCAGGCGGUUAGAUAAGUCUGAAGUUAAAGGCUGUGGCUUAACCAUAGUAGGCUUUGGAAACUGUUUAACUUGAGUGCAAGAGGGGAGAGUGGAAUUCCAUGUGUAGCGGUGAAAUGCGUAGAUAUAUGGAGGAACACCGGUGGCGAAAGCGGCUCUCUGGCUUGUAACUGACGCUGAGGCUCGAAAGCGUGGGGAGCAAACAGGAUUAGAUACCCUGGUAGUCCACGCUGUAAACGAUGAGUGCUAGGUGUUAGACCCUUUCCGGGGUUUAGUGCCGUAGCCGCAUUAAGCACUCCGCCUGGGGAGUACGACCGCAAGGUU
rnacentral:rRNA from 1 species